CACCGACCCUGCAGCUGGGAGAGGAGCCCCAGCCCCAGAAGUCCCAGGUGUUCCAAUUCUGUGAUCAGCACAGAACACACACACCUCACCAUGGAGUUUGUGCUGGGCUGGGUUUUCCUGGUUGCUCUUUUAAAAGGUGUCCAGUGUGACGUGCAGCUGGUGGAGACUGGGGGAGACCUGGUGAAGCCUGGGGGGUCCCUGAGACUCACCUGUGUAGCCUCUGGAUUCACCUUCAGUAGCUAUGAAAUGAACUGGGUCCGCCAGGCUCCAGGGAAGGGGCUGCAGUGGGUUGCAUAUAUUAGUAGUAGUGGAGGUAGCACAUACUACGCAGACUCCGUGAAGGGCCGAUUCACCAUCUCCAGAGACAACUCCAAGAACACGCUGUAUCUGCAGAUGAACAACCUCAAGACCGAGGACACGGCCACAUAUUACUGUGCAAGAGACACAGUGAGGGGUCGUCACUGGGAGCCCAGACACAAACUUCCCUGCAGGAGGGUUGGGAUCCUCCAUGGUGCACUGGACGAGGCACUGGUGGGAGCAAAGAGAGUGGACGCCUCCAAGAAGAAUGCGGCCAGUCAGGCAAAGUCCUGA